UGAUGAAGGAUUUCGGUUCGUAAAGCUCUGUCAAGUGGGAAGAACCUGUGUAUGGUUAAUAGCUGUAUGCACUGACGGUACCACUGAAGGAAGCACCGGCUAACUCCGUGCCAGCAGCCGCGGUAAUACGGAGGGUGCAAGCGUUAUUCGGAUUUACUGGGCGUAAAGGGAGCGCAGGCUGCCAGAUAAGUCAGAUGUGAAAGCCCGGGGCUCAACCCCGGAAGUGCAUUUGAAACUGUUUGGCUUGAGUAUGGUAGAGGGAAGUGGAAUUCCAGGUGUAGCGGUGAAAUGCGUAGAUAUCUGGAGGAACACCGGUGGCGAAGGCGACUUCCUGGACCAAUACUGACGCUGAGGCUCGAAGGUGUGGGUAGCAAACAGGAUUAGAUACCCUGGUAGUCCACACAGUAAACGGUGAUCACUAGGUGUUGCGGGUAUUGACCCCUGCAGUGCCGCAGCUAACGCAUUAAGUGAUCCGCCUGGGGAGUACGGUCGCAAGAUU
rnacentral:rRNA from 1 species